rnacentral:rRNA from 1 species
UACGUAGGGGGCGAGCGUUGUCCGGAUUCAUUGGGCGUAAAGAGCUCGUAGGCGGCUUGUCGCGUCGGAUGUGAAAGCCCGGGGCUUAACCCCGGGUCUGCAUUCGAUACGGGCAGGCUAGAGUUCGGUAGGGGAGAUCGGAAUUCCUGGUGUAGCGGUGAAAUGCGCAGAUAUCAGGAGGAACACCGGUGGCGAAGGCGGAUCUCUGGGCCGAUACUGACGCUGAGGAGCGAAAGCGUGGGGAGCGAACAGG